CAGGAUGAACGCUGGCGGUAUGCCUAACACAUGCAAGUCGAACGAGAAUAAUCCCGGUUAAUCUAGUGGCGGACGGGUGAGUAACACGUGAGAAUUCGCCUUUAGGAGGGGGAUAACGGAUGGAAACAUUCGCUAAAACCCCAUAUGCCCUCGGGUGAAAAAGAGAAAGUAAGACAUACUGAUUUAUCUCUGCCUGAAGAGAAGCUCGCGGCUGAUUAGCUAGUUGGUAGGGUAAAGGCCUACCAAGGCGACGAUCAGUAGCUGGUCUGAGAGGACGAUCAGCCACACUGGAACUGAGACACGGUCCAGACUCCUACGGGAGGCAGCAGUGAGGAAUUUUCUGCAAUGGGCGAAAGCCUGACAGAGCAAUACCGCGUGGGGGAUGAAGACUUACUGAGUUGUAAACCUCGGUACCCUAAGGAAGAAGAUAUGACGGUACUUAGGGUGGAAAGCAUCGGCUAACUCCGUGCCAGCAGCCGCGGUAAGACGGGGGAUGCAAGUGUUAUCCGGAUUUACUGGGCGUAAAGCGUCUGCAGGUGGUUUCUUAAGUCUACUGUUAAAUCUUGAGGCUCAACCUCAAAUCUGCAGUAGAAACUAGGAGACUUGAGCAUAGUAGGGGUAGAAGGAAUUUCCAGUGGAGCGGUGAAAUGCGUAGAUAUUGGAAAGAACACCGAUGGCGAAGGCACUCUACUGGGCUAUUACUGACACUCAGAGACGAAAGCUAGGGGAGCAAAUGGGAUUAGAUACCCCAGUAGUCCUAGCCGUAAACGAUGGAUACUCGAUGUUGGACGUAUCGACCCGUUCAGUAUCUUAGCUAACGCGUUAAGUAUCCCGGCUGGGGAGUACGCUCGCAAGAGU
rnacentral:rRNA from 1 species